UACGUAGGGUGCGAGCGUUAAUCGGAAUUACUGGGCGUAAAGCGUGCGCAGGCGGGCUUUUAAGCCAGACGUGAAAUCCCCGGGCUUAACCUGGGAAUGGCGUUUGGGACUGGGAGUCUGGAGUGCGGCAGAGGAGACUGGAAUUCCUGGUGUAGCAGUGAAAUGCGUAGAUAUCAGGAGGAACACCGAUGGCGAAGGCAGGUCUCUGGGCUGACACUGACGCUCAUGCACGAAAGCGUGGGGAGCAAACAGG
rnacentral:rRNA from 2 species